GAGCGAAAUCCCGGCCGGCAGGAAGUGGCAAGCGCCGGCGGGGAUCGUCCGGUCGUGGCGGACCGGGCCUGACGAGCAGCCAUAU
rnacentral:hammerhead_ribozyme from 1 species